rnacentral:rRNA from 1 species
AUUGAACGCUGGCGGCAGGCCUAACACAUGCAAGUCGAGCGGAUGAAGGGAGCUUGCUCCUGGAUUCAGCGGCGGACGGGUGGGUGAUGCCUAGGAAUCUGCCUGGUAGUGGGGGAUAACGUCCGGAAACGGGCGCUAAUACCGCAUACGUCCUGAGGGAGAAAGUGGGGGAUCUUCGGACCUCACGCUAUCAGAUGAGCCUAGGUCGGAUUAGCUAGUUGGUGGGGUAAAGGCCUACCAAGGCGACGAUCCGUAACUGGUCUGAGAGGAUGAUCAGUCACACUGGAACUGAGACACGGUCCAGACUCCUACGGGAGGCAGCAGUGGGGAAUAUUGGACAAUGGGCGAAAGCCUGAUCCAGCCAUGCCGCGUGUGUGAAGAAGGUCUUCGGAUUGUAAAGCACUUUAAGUUGGGAGGAAGGGCAGUAAGUUAAUACCUUGCUGUUUUGACGUUACCAACAGAAUAAGCACCGGCUAACUUCGUG